rnacentral:rRNA from 1 species
GGCUCAGAACGAACGCUGGCGGCGUGCCUAAGACAUGCAAGUCGUGCGGAAAGGCUCCUUCGGGAGCGCUCGAGCGGCGCACGGGUGAGUAACGCGUGGGUAAUCUGCCUUCGGGUUCGGGACAACUCCGGGAAACUGGAGCUAAUACCGGAUAAGACCACGGGAUCCUAGGGUCCUGCGGAAAAAGGUGGCCUCUGCUUGCAAGCUACCACUCGAUGAUGAGCCCGCGUCCCAUUAGCUUGUUGGUGGGGUAAUGGCCUACCAAGGCGACGAUGGGUAGCUGGUCUGAGAGGAUGAUCAGCCACACUGGAACUGAGACACGGUCCAGACUCCUACGGGAGGCAGCAGUCGGGAAUUUUGGGCAAUGGGCGAAAGCCUGACCCAGCAACGCCGCGUGAGGGAUGAAGGCCCUCGGGUCGUAAACCUCUGUCGGGAGGGGAGAACGGUCGCGAUUCGAACAGAAUCGUGGCCUGACGGUACCUCCAAAGGAAGCACCGGCUAACUCCGUGCCAGCAGCCGCGGUAA